rnacentral:lncRNA from 1 species
AGUGCCUUGGAAAUGAGUGCUUUUUAAUGGUUGGAAUUUUGAGGAUACAUUCUCAAUAUUUCCAUUAUUAUAUUUACUAAGUGGUUUUGAUAAAUUGAUGCCUUAGUGCCUGUCCUACUUCAAAUAUCUUGCUCUAUGUUUUAAUCCUUGUGUAUCAGAAGGUUAAGAUAAAUAACCAUAUAAUCUUUAUUUAAAGGUAAGACAGAUAUAGACACAAAGUAUUUUUGUUAAAAAUUACUUAAAGUUGGACCAUGUUCUAGAUAAAGAGAAACAAUUAUGUACUCUUCUUGCUGAAACAUUAUAGAGUCAUAAAUAAUUUAUCAAAGGAAAGAAUAAUUUUAGGAAUUUGGAUCAAUGUCCAAAAAGAAUUAGAUUUUUUUGUGAAAUUUUAAUAGUUUACAAGCCAUUAUUACAGUUAUUCAAGUUCCUAAAUGACAUGUAAAUUAUUGAAAUUAUGUGUGGUAAGAAAUUCAUAUUAUCUAAAUUCCCACAAAAUGUGAGAAAAUAUAGAAAAGGGGGAAAAUCUAUAAAUUAUGCAACAAAAUUUAAGCUGAGGGAAGAACUACUAUAUUCACGUUAAUUGAGCCAGGGACUCUACAGUUAGCUUGGUCAAAUUUCGGAAUUUUGGUUGAAGUAUGUUGUUCAUUUAUUAAAGGAUAAUUAUCACUAAGAAUUUCAGUUACCCAAAUACAUGUAGAAAAAGCCAACAGCAAUAUUGCACUUAGUUUUAAAAGAUUUGUCACUUCCUUAAAAGGUAAUGCUUUGUGAUCAUAGUAUCUGUCUUCAAUUCUUUGAAGCUCAAUGUCUUCACCUACCUA